rfam:Macaca mulatta chromosome 8, whole genome shotgun sequence.
GUCUACCGUCAUAUCAUCCUGAACAUACCCAAUCUCGUCUGAUCUUGGAAGCUAAGCAGGGUCAGGCCUGGUUAGUACUUGGAUGGCAGACCGACAGCUGGACUUUGGAGGAGAGAUGGCUU